AGCCUUAGAGGGCAAAUCUGGCGAAAGCCAGAGACGCAAAGCCAAGGGUCUAAGUUGCAUUAAGCGAUAAGAUAGCCUGGUUGCAAAA
rnacentral:ncRNA from 1 species